rnacentral:misc_RNA from 1 species
GGUUGCUAGACAUCACACCAAUCACAAUCAAUACAUGCAGAUCACACAUUAUUAGUGCAGGAACAGUAGCUGUAGAUUGUGAGAUAAAAAGCAGGAGGGAAUUGUAGUUAGAUUUGAGAAAGGUUUCUUUUUGAUAUGGAAGAUCGCUACUCUUCAGGAUGGCCUGUUGCGCCUCCAGAAGCAAACUGGUCCGCAGGCAAUUCUACCGCAUAUGAUGAGUCCAGUUUGUUUCCAUACCUGCUAACGCCUCAUACCUCAACUUCAACCUCUGCCACCUCCCAAAUUAAUGGACUUCCUUCUUGGUCGAUACCGAUUCAAGAGGCUAGCCAUGGAUUUCCCUCGUGGUCUACAAUACCAGUUCAAGAGGCUGCAGAAGAUAAAGCUGCUUCUGUUUCCAAGAGCCAUAGCCAAGCUGAGAAGCGGCGCAGGGACCGGAUUAAUGCGCAGCUUGGCAUUCUCAGGAAACUAAUUCCCAAAUCAGAUAAGAUGGACAAGGCAGCUCUCCUAGCAAGUGUGAUUGAUCAAGUAAGAGAUCUUAAGGGAAAAGCAAUGGAAGUAAGCAAAAGCAUCACAAUUCCAACAGAAUUCGACGAAGUAACAGUAGACGUCGAUGAGUCUGAUGAUAUUUCUCAAGAUUUAAGCUCCACAAGCAACAAGAAGAACAAAGAAGACAAUAUCUUCGUGAGGGUGUCCUUUUGCUGCGACGAUCGGCCAGAGGUGUUCUCGGAACUCAUCAGGGUGCUCAAAGGCCUUAGACUGAGCAUAGUUAGAGCAGAUAUUGCAAGUGUAGGAGGAAGAGUUAAAAGCAUUCUUAUACUGUGCAAUAAAGAUUGUAAAGAGGAAGGAGUUUCACUUAGCACUAUCAAACAAUCACUCAAUGUAUUUUUGAGUAGAAUUUCUUCAUCCUCUAUGCCUUCAAAUUAUCGCAUUAGAAGCAAGAGGCAGAGGUUCUUUUUACCUUCUCAAUAGUUGCAUUACUAUUUCUAUUUUCUCAUAUAUAUAAAAAUUUUUAUUUGGUCCCUUGUGAUUAAAUUUUUUCACAAAUUCCCCUUUUGUUAUAAUACCAUACACAAUCG